UCCGGUUUGUCACCGGCAGUCUCAUUAAAGUGCCCAACUAAAUGAUGGCAAUUAAUGACAAGGGUUGCGCUCGUUGCGGGACUUAACCCAACAUCUCACGACACGAGCUGACGACAGCCAUGCAGCACCUGUGUUCCGAUUCCCUUUCGGGCACAACCACAUCUCUGCGGCCUUCCGGACAUGUCAAGGGUAGGUAAGGUUUUUCGCGUUGCAUCGAAUUAAUCCACAUCAUCCACCGCUUGUGCGGGUCCCCGUCAAUUCCUUUGAGUUUUAAUCUUGCGACCGUACUCCCCAGGCGGCGAACUUCACGCGUUAGCUACGGUACUAAAGAAGUCUCCUUCCCCAACACCUAGUUCGCAUCGUUUAGGGCGUGGACUAC
rnacentral:misc_RNA from 1 species